GAUGAACGCUGGCGGCGUGCCUAAUACAUGCAAGUCGAGCGAACAGACGAGGAGCUUGCUCCUCUGACGUUAGCGGCGGACGGGUGAGUAACACGUGGAUAACCUACCUAUAAGACUGGGAUAACUUCGGGAAACCGGAGCUAAUACCGGAUAAUAUAUUGAACCGCAUGGUUCACUAGUGAAAGACGGUUUUGCUGUCACUUAUAGAUGGAUCCGCGCCGCAUUAGCUAGUUGGUAAGGUAACGGCUUACCAAGGCAACGAUGCGUAGCCGACCUGAGAGGGUGAUCGGCCACACUGGAACUGAGACACGGACCAGACUCCUACGGGAGGCAGCAGUAGGGAAUCUUCCGCAAGGGGCGAGAGCCUGACAGAGCAACGCCGCGGGAGUGAUGAAGGUCUUAGGAUCGUAAAACUCUGUUAUUAGGGAAGAACAAAUGUGUAAGUAACUAUGCACGUCUUGACGGUACCUAAUCAGAAAGCCACGGCUAACUACGUG
rnacentral:rRNA from 1 species